UUAGUUGAAGGCCAGUGGCCUUCAGAGGAUUUUCAGAAGAUUUAUUUCAUGAGAAUAUUUGAUAAUUUUGUAUUUCAUCUUUAUUUAACCAGGAGGUGCCAUUGAGGUUAGAAGACCUCUUUCUCAAGGGAGACCUUGCCAAGAAGGGCAGAUCAGUGAAAACACAUAGAACAUUCUAAUCAAAGUGCAUAGUCUGCAUAGCAAGUAGUUAUUGUUCUUAUGUGAUACCUGCUCUGAUGUGUCUUGUUCUAGAACCCAGAGAAGAACAUGGAAUGGGAGUUCUAUUUCAAAAACCUCUCUCGGUCUCUUACGUCUCUUUUGGUUCUUCUCACAACUGCUAACAACCCUGACGGAACAUACAUCCUGAUGAACCUGCUGACUGCCAUCAUAUACAACCAGUUUAGAGGAUACUUAGUGGACCUGAGCCCUAGGACCAUGCCUCAGGACUACCUGGCCUGAUGACUCCUUGCUGUCCCUUGUCCACCUGGCCGUGCUGCUGCUUCUGUAUCAACUGUUCUGCCUGCGGC